GUCUCUCAGAUCACUUGCUCUGGGAGAGGCCAGCUGCUGUGUCUUGAGGAUACUAAAUCAAGUGGUCCUGUGGAGAGGUCUGCAUGGUGAGGAACUGAGGCCUCCCACCAACAGCCAGCAUGAACUUGCCCACCAUGUGAAGGAUGCAUCUUGUAAGUAGAUCCCCCAGCCCCAGUCAAGCUUGCAAAUAACUGCAGACCUAGCCAACAUCUUGACAGCAGCUUCAUAAGAGAUACCGAUCCAGGACCACUCAGCUAAGCCAUCACCAGACUCCUGACCACUGGAACUAUGUGAGACAGAUGUAGCCUACUGGUUCUGUUUCUCUGACUGAACUCUGAACGAUGCCCCUCCAAGAGAAAUUGGCCUCUGAGGACCAGCAGCCAAAGGCACAGAAAUGACUGGGAAAACUGGCAUCCUGAGGCGAUCCAUGCAUCCUGCCCCUCCCGCAUUCCAGCAGCUCUGCCCGUUGUGUGCCAGUAAACACCGCCACCCCCAGUUUUUCCUGCUCAAUUAUUCAAAGUUAGUUUCUGUGGCUUGAAAUCGAAGAAGCCCAAUCAAUAUUAUACAGUUUCUCAAGAAGGAGGAGCUAGCCUGCAAUCAGAACUAUUCAAUCGGAAAAGAUCUUGAGUUGGAACUUGAGAAAAGAGUAAAAUGGACUGAAUGUUUUUGUGCCCCUAAAUUCCUCUGUUGAGUCCUAAUGGGCUGGUAUUUGGAGGUCGGGCCUUUGGGAAGGACACCCCCAGGAUGGAUUCGUGCCCUUCAAUGAAGAGGAAGAGAGCUAGCUUUCUCUCUCUCUCUCCCUUGGGAAGAUACAGAGAGAAGACAGCUGUCUGUAAACCAGGAAGAGGACUUUCACAGAGAAUCUGACCACGCUGGCAGCCUGAACCCGAACGUCCAAGCCUCCAGAACCAAGAGGAAUAAAUGUCUGCUGUUUAGGCCCCCCAACCUGAGGUGUUCUGGUAGAGCGAGCAGCGCUAAGACACAGGGAUUGGGGAUCCAUCUGGUGGGAAGGCCGUUCAGUGGGAAAUGAGAGGGACAGUCAAGAGCCCUGUAGGCAGUGAGCCGUGAGUUAGAUUCCCUCCCUUCUGGAUGCAGCCCUUAGGCAAGUCAGUUGGCUCUCUGAGCCUCUAUGUCUGUGAAAUGAGGCAACGAGCCUGUUUAUCUCAUCGGGUCCCUGUAAGGCAAUGGGGAUAAUGGGUGAAGCGCUCAGCAUAGUUUGGGUUUCUCCCCUCUCCAGGGUCCUUGUGCUGAGGUGGGAAGCCCCAUAAAAAAGACUGGCAGGACUCCCAGGCAGGGCCACUACUCUCCUGCCAGCACCAUCCAGUUCCUUGGCCCAGCAGCUCUAUUUCGCUUUUUUCCUCUGAAACGGCUUACUUCUAGGAAAGUGGAACUUACCCCUAAAAUUCUAUUGGUUCCCUAAGCUAACUCCUGAUUGGUCCAUUUGUAGUACUUUAUUUGCAUGUAGCUCAUUCUUGAUUGGUUAUUUCUCUCCCUCCUGAUUGGUCCAUUUCUACACAGCUUGUUCCUAAUUAGUCAAUUUUUGUUAUACCUUAUUUGCAUAUGAUGUUGCAAAGUAUAAAACUGGCAGCCUAUAAAAGCCUGUGUAAAACUACAGAUGGGGUCCAGAGCUUGGAGUGUUAACUCCUCUAGGCCUGCUGGCAUAAUAAACCUGAGUUCUCCAA